GAUGAAGAGCGUAGCGAAAUGCGAUACUUGGUGUGAAUUGCAGAAUCCCGUGAACCAUCGAGUCUUUGAACGCAAGUUGCGCCUCAAGCCAUUAGGUUGAGGGCACGUCUGCCUGGGCGUCACAUAUCGUUGCCUGAUGCCAGUUUCCUCGUGAUGGGUGACAGUGCAGGGCGAAUGAUGGCUUCCCGUGAGCAUUGUUGCCUCAUGGUUGGUUGAAAAUUGAGUCCUUGGUAGGGAGCGCCGUGAUAGAUGGUGGUUGAGUGACGAACGAGACCCAAUCAUGUGAGACCCCUACCGAAUUUGGCCUUCAUGACCCACAUGCGUCUUUGGAACGCUCAUGACGAGACCUCAGGUCAGGCGGGGCUACCCGCUGAGUUUAAGCAUAUCAAUAAGCGGAGGA
rnacentral:misc_RNA from 1 species